rnacentral:rRNA from 1 species
AGCGAACGCUGGCGGCAGGCUUAACACAUGCAAGUCGAGCGGGCACUUUCGGGUGUCAGCGGCGGACGGGUGAGUAACGCGUGGGAACGUGCCCUCUGGUUCGGAAUAACUCAGGGAAACUUGAGCUAAUACCGGAUACGCCCUGUUGGGGAAAGGCUUGCUGCCGGAGGAUCGGCCCGCGUCUGAUUAGCUAGUUGGUGAGGUAACGGCUCACCAAGGCGACGAUCAGUAGCUGGUCUGAGAGGAUGAUCAGCCACACUGGGACUGAGACACGGCCCAGACUCCUACGGGAGGCAGCAGUGGGGAAUAUUGGACAAUGGGCGCAAGCCUGAUCCAGCCAUGCCGCGUGAGUGAUGAAGGCCUUAGGGUUGUAAAGCUCUUUUAUCCGGGACGAUAAUGACGGUACCGGAGGAAUAAGCCCCGGCUAACUUCGUG